GUCGAUUGGUCGGCCACUACCCAGCAGGACUUUCGUACAGUGAGACUUGGGUCUGUUUGGACUGUACCCAUACCUAACCAGCCGUCAAUCAAGCAGCACCUCCUGUCAGUCGGUGGCCGGUCAGUUUUUCGUCUGUCCAGUCGGGAGUAGACAACGCCAGCUUCACACCCCACAGCAGAAACCACGCGACGGUCACAUCCUCUGGACAUUAGCAGUCGCGAGGGUGACCAACCAGCGACUACGCAGAGGCAGCGCAAAUACAUCCGUGAGGCCGAAGCUCCCAACUGAAAGAUGGCUGAGUUCUGGCAGCAGGUCGGGCAGUUCCUCUUGAAUGAGGUGAUGAACGACAUGGCGGAAUGUGCGUUCCGGAGCAUGGACGCCGACCAGGCCCGGGUGUGCAGGCUGCUCUGGAAACUCAGGGCUACGGCCACCAGGAUAACUUUCACCGGGAAGCAGGUCGAAUUCUUCUUUAAACAGUUGUCUAGUUUCCUAGAAAACGACGAGGCCGACUUGGAGCAGGGACUCCAGAUGAUCGUCCAGUCGGUGAUGGUGGCGAGAAAUAUUUUUGAGGGCUACGAAGAGGUUCAGGACCUGAUAGAUGAAAUUAAGCGAGAGUGGGACCGUUACAAAGCUAGAAACAUGCUGAAGUGGGAUUACUGAAAACUAAAA